ensembl:snoRNA
ACCCCUUUAAAAGCACUCGCUGGGCCUCUUACUAGUGACCCAUUGAGCCGUCCAGAAAGGGAAGAGUAAAGACACCACUUUUUGGGUGAAGCCACAGCAUGUUGUGUUGUUUGCUUCAAUCAGUGGUGUGACAAGU